rnacentral:rRNA from 1 species
GGGGGAUAAAUUAAUAAAUUAAAAAUAAUAAAAUAAUUUUUAAUAUUAUAUAUUUUAAUGGGGGUUAAAGUAUUAUAAAAAAAAAAAUUAUUAAUUUUAUAGUAAAUUAGUAUUGUAAAAGAAAUUUGAAAUAUAUGAAAAUAAAUUUAUUUUUAAGUAAAUUUUAUUUAUUGUAUCUUGUGUAUCAGAGUUUAUUAAAAAUAUUUUUUAAAUAAAAAUUUCUCGAAUUUAAAAGAGUUAAUUAAUUAUUAAAGUUAAUGUUACAUAAUUAUUUUAAAUAAUUAAUUAGAAAUGAAAUGUUAAUCGUUUUUAAAUAUAUCUAGUUUUUUUAGAAAAAAAUUUAAUUUUAAAUAUUAAUUUAAUAAAAAAUUAUUUUUUUUUUAAUUUUUUAUUGUUAUUAUUAAAUAUUUUAGGGGAUAAGCUUUAAAAUAAAAUUUUAUAAUAUUAAUUUUAAUUAAAAUUUUUAAAAUUUAUAUUGUUUAAAAAUUAUAAUUUUUUAUAAAUAAUUUUAUUUAAAAUUAAAAUUUAAUAUGAAAUAUUUAAUUUUUUUUAUAAAAAAAUAUUAUAUAAUAAUAUAAAAUUAAUUAAAAUGAUAAAAUUAGUAUAUAAAUUAUAUAAAUAAAUAAUAAUUUAUUAUAAUUUAAAAAAAGGAAUUCGGCAAAAUUUUAUGUUCACUUGUUUAUCAAAAACAUGUCUUUUUGAUUAUAAUUUAAAGUCUGGUCUGCCCACUGAUUAAUUUAUUGAAGGGCUGCAGUAUUUUGACUGUACAAAGGUAGCAUAAUCAUUAGUCUCUUAAUUGGUGACUUGUAUGAAAGAUUUGAUGAAAUAUAAACUGUCUCUUUUUAAUUUAUAAAACUUAAUUUUUUAGUUAAAAAGCUAAAAUAUAUUUAAAAGACGAGAAGACCCUAUAGAGUUUUAUAAUUAAUAAAAUUAUUAUUUUAUAUAAAUAAUUUAAUAAAAAUUUAAUUAAUUAUUUUAUUGGGGUGAUAGAAAAAUUGAAUUAACUUUUUUUAAAAAUUAAACAUAAAUAAAUGAAAAUAUGAUCCGAUUGUAUCGAUUAAAAGAAUAAAUUACCUUAGGGAUAACAGCGUAAUUUUUUUUUUUAGUUCGAAUAAAAAAAAAAGUUUGCGACCUCGAUGUUGGAUUAAGAUAAAAUUUAAAUGCAAAAGUUUAAAAUUUUGAUCUGUUCGAUCAUUAAAAUCUUACAUGAUCUGAGUUCAAACCGGUGUAAGCCAGGUUGGUUUCUAUCUUUAGAUAAUAAAAAUAUUUUAGUACGAAAGGAUCAAAUAUUUAAAAUAAUUUUAAAAUAAAGAAUUUUUUUAAUAGUAGUGUAAAGCUAUUUUGGCAGAAAAAUGUAAUGAUUUUAGAAGUCAUAAAAU